AAAUGUGAUCAGAAUUUCAAAUCUGGUCUUCAAAUAUUUAUUCCAAGCAAAAUACAUGUCCAAACACAACUUCAAAAAAUCUACGGUCAAAUGGGAUUGGUAAUUUCUUCAAUGCAGUAACUUAUUCACACAAAUUCUACUGAUAAACAUCUUCUUUGAGCCAAAUUCUCUCUCCAAAAUGAAACCUUAAAGGGGAAUAGAGAGAUAGAAAUAGAAAAGCA
rnacentral:misc_RNA from 1 species